GUGCCAGCAGCCGCGGUAAUACAGAGGGUGCGAGCGUUAAUCGGAUUUACUGGGCGUAAAGCGCAUGCAGGUGGUUUGUUAAGUCACUUGUGAAAGCCCGGGGCUCAACCUCGGAAUUGCAUUUGAAAGAGGUAGGCUAGAGUACUGUAGAGGGGGGUAGAAUUUCAGGUGUAGCGGUGAAAUGCGUAGAGAUCUGAAGGAAUAGGGGUGGCGAAGGCCGCCCCCUGGACAGAUACUGACACUCAGAUGCGAAACCGUGGGGAGCAAACAGGAUUAGAUACCCCCGUAGUCC
rnacentral:rRNA from 1 species